GGCUCGGUAGCUUAGUUGGUAAAGCGCUCGUCUAGCAUACAGGAGUCCUGGGUUCGACUCCAAGCCGAGUUU
rfam:Aedes aegypti strain Liverpool supercont1.306 genomic scaffold, whole genome shotgun sequence.